rnacentral:rRNA from 1 species
AACGAACGCUGGCGGCAUGCCUAACACAUGCAAGUCGAACGAGACCUUCGGGUCUAGUGGCGCACGGGUGCGUAACGCGUGGGAACCUGCCCUUAGGUUCGGAAUAACUCCCCGAAAGGGGUGCUAAUACCGGAUAAUGUCUUCGGACCAAAGAUUUAUCGCCCUUGGAGGGGCCCGCGUUGGAUUAGCUAGUUGGUAGGGUAAAAGCCUACCAAGGCGACGAUCCAUAGCUGGGCUGAGAGGAUGAUCAGCCACACUGGGACUGAGACACGGCCCAGACUCCUACGGGAGGCAGCAGUGGGGAAUAUUGGACAAUGGGCGAAAGCCUGAUCCAGCAAUGCCGCGUGAGUGAUGAAGGCCUUAGGGUUGUAAAGCUCUUUUACCCGGGAUGAUAAUGACAGUACCGGGAGAAUAAGCUCCGGCUAACUCCGUG